UGUUUGCACUUAGCGGGAAGGGUAAGAACCUUCGACUAAGGUUCGACUCGAGCGCCAGCGAGAGAACGUUGCCACAGGCAACGGCCCGAAGGGCGAGGAGAGAU
rnacentral:sRNA from 1 species